CUUGACAUCCAGAGAAUUUAGCAGAGAUGCUUUAGUGCCUUCGGGAACUCUGAGACAGGUGCUGCAUGGCUGUCGUCAGCUCGUGUUGUGAAAUGUUGGGUUAAGUCCGCAACGAGCGCAACCCUUAUCCUUUGUUGCCAGCACGUAAUGGUGGGAACUCAAAGGAGACUGCCGGUGAUAAACCGGAGGAAGGUGGGGAUGACGUCAAGUCAUCAUGGCCCUUACGAGUAGGGCUACACACGUGCUACAAUGGCGCAUACAAAGAGAAGCGACCUCGCGAGAGCAAGCGGACCUCAUAAAGUGCGUCGUAGUCCGGAUUGGAGUCUGCAACUCGACUCCAUGAAGUCGGAAUCGCUAGUAAUCGUAAAUCAGAAUGUUACGGUGAAUACGUUCCCGGGCCUUGUACACACCGCCCGUCACACCAUGGGAGUGGGUUGCAAAAGAAGUAGAUAGUUUAACCUUCGGGAGGGCGUUUACCACUUUGUGAUUCAUGACUGGGGUGAAGUCGUAACAAGGUAAGCGUAGUGCU
rnacentral:rRNA from 1 species